CAGCCGCCGCGGUAAUACCGGCAGCCCGAGUGAUGGCCGAUCUUAUUGGGCCUAAAGCGUCCGUAGCUGGCCGCGCAAGUCCAUCGGAAAAUCCACCCGCCCAACGGGUGGGCGUCCGGUGGAAACUGCGUGGCUUGGGACCGGAAGGCGCGACGGGUACGUCCGGGGUAGGAGUGAAAUCCCGUAAUCCUGGACGGACCGCCGAUGGCGAAAGCACGUCGCGAAGACGGAUCCGACAGUGAGGGACGAAAGCUAGGGUCUCGAACCGGAUUAGAUACCCGGGUAGUCCUAGCCGUAAACAAUGUCUGCUAGGUGUGGCUCCCACUACGAGUGGGUGCUGUGCCGUAGGGAAGCCGCUAAGCAGACCGCCUGGGAAGUACGUCCGCAAGGAUGAAACUUAAAGGAAUUGGCGGG
rnacentral:rRNA from 1 species